AGGCUGUUGGCUCUGCACCAGUCCGUUAGCUGCUGCACCUUCUCUCUGUUGGCUGACUCAUUAUUCUUGCUGAUGAAACCCACCACGGUCGUGUCAUCGGUGAACUUGAUGAUGUGGUUCGAGCUGUGUGUUGCAGAGCGAACGGCAGUGGACUGAGCACGCAACCCUGGGGCCUCUUUCCAGUGUCAGCAAAUCCUUUUUAAGAUGCUGCCUGGCCUGCUGAGUUCCUCCAGCAUUUUGUGUGUGUUGCUCAGAUUCCUAGCAUCUGCAGAUUCUCUCUUGUUUGUGAUUUGAUUACAUCAUUAUGUUCUGGUCUCUGCUGACAUAAAUCAAUUUGGUGAUCUGUCUGAUUGACUAAUGCCAGUGGCCAAGAGUACAUGCCACAUCAUAGCAUGAGGUGACUUUGUCUUCUUUCUUUACUGUCUCACCCAGUUCCCCACAGUCUUGCAAUGGUGAAGUAAAUUAACCUUAAAGAGCUGAAAGUAGAAAGUCAUUGUGAUAGUGAGACUAUAACAGUAGCUACAUAACCCUUAACCAUUUUCUAAAAUGGCAGCGGAAAUUUAGAAGGGUAAAUAAUCAUGAUCUUGCCUGGCGUGUCCCAGUCCUGGGAUUGAAAAGGGCAACGACUACUCCCUUGCCCUUACAGUGACUGCAACUCAGCCAGCUUAGAUUUCUUUUAUGAUCAAGAUUGUGACCAUCCACAUCUUGUGACCUUUGCCCACCAAGACAAGCUUUUCCACCGAUAGCUUCUCUUCACUGUUAUGUCUAGAGUUCCAUUAAAAAAUCUUUAAUUGGUCAUUUACUUAGGCCGCACCAACAUUACCUUCAUGUUCAACACUAAGCUGAGUUUCUGACUCUACAUCCUGAGCACCAAGCAUCAUCUCUGUAGAUUGCCUUGCUCCAUUUCCGAUUUAGACCAUCCACCCCUCCAUGCUUUUAUCACCUUUAAGCCUCAUUGUUCUAAUGUUGUCUUGGUAGACCUCCUCUCACUCAUGCUCGGUUCCAUUAAGACUUCUGUUCAUCCAAAAUUUUGCAUCUAUACUUCAAUCUCUUUAAAGCUCACCUAAUUAAACUAACUUUUGGUUGCCCCUGCCAAAUGUGAUGGGUCUUGUAAAGUGUUUUCUAGGCUAAAGAUUCUGUACCAUUCCAAGUUGUAGAAAUAUUUUCACUCUGCCAUUGGUGGCAGUACUUUUUGCUGCCUUGAUCUGGAAUUACUCUUAACCUCUCCGCCUCACUUCCUAUCUCUCCACCUUUAAACCUAUCUGUUUGACCACAAUUCUUUCAUCUGUUCUUUUUUUCUUGGCUCAGUGUCUAAAGUUUAAGUUUAUUUGUCUUGGGACAGCAUUAAAGGAAGUAUUUCAACCGUAAAUUUGAGCAGGUGGCCAAUCUCAUUGUCAUACGAAGGACAGCAACUUGAAAAGAAUGUGCAUUUAAAUAUAACCUCAUGAUUGUAGUAAUUUUCUCAGCUAAGUUAAAGCUGCACUGCAAAUACGUGCACAAAGUUUAGACUUGAUUGUAGAAUUGCGGUCUUCACAUUCUCAGUCUUGUUGAAAUUUGGAAAUGAGUUUGGUCAGUUUGCCACCGGGCCACAAGAUGGAGUACCUCACCAUUGCAGCACGAUGGUGAAAUGAGGCAGGGAGAAGAAGGAGGACCAACUAAGUCAGCUCACACUAUGGUCUAACACCUACUCUUGGCCGCUGGCACUAGUCAAUAAAAUUCAUUUACACCAGGUGAACAUAAAGCAAGACCUCGGAGUGAAAUAUCCAAUGGACCAUCCAAUGCUGCGGACUCCUUUUCUACGCUCAAGUGAGAAAUAAACUACUGGAGGAAUCAAUGCGUCAAACAGAUCUGUGAAGGUGAAAUCAAUGUAUCAGGCCGAAACUCUGCAUCAGAGCUGAGGGCAAAGGGGACAGAUCAUCAGAGUAUUCCAGCAUCUGCAGUCUCCUGCCACUGCACAUUCUCCCUAUAGUGUGCAGACUCUGAAGAAGUUCUUCUCUCUGUGACAUGGAUUGUGUGACUCUACCUCUCACAGUCCUCCUACUGUUCCGCCCCCCCCCCCCGUCUGAUUGUACCUGUCACCUUUCAGCCUCUGGCCCCACCCUCAAGCUGCUAGGUACUGGCAAUCUUUCCUCUUCUCUCUCAGCUUGGUGUAGGGUCUUGACCUGAACCGUUGACAAUCCCUUUCCACCGAAGAUGCCGCCUGACCCCUGGCAUUCCUCUGGUGUUUUAUUUUUUGUUCCAGAUUACAGCACUUUGGUCUCUUACUUCAAUCCUUCUUUCCACAGCCUUCCAGUUUUUUCCUCACCAUACAUUAAUCCAGCUACCUCUUGAAAGCAUCACUGGUUGGCUCCAUCCUAUCUACAGGCAGCACAUUCCCGAUUCCAAGCACACAUAACAUAAUAAAAAUUUCCUUCCAACACUACUACUAUUACUCAUUUUAUUUUGUACCAUGCAGUGGAGAGUUCAUUGACUGGCUGCAUCAGAGCCUGGCAUGAAAACUUUGAAUGGAAGAUCCUACAAAAGGUAGUGGACAUGGCUCAGUCCAUCAUGGGUAAGGUCCUCCCCACCAUUGAGCACAUCUACACCAAACAUUGUUGCAGGAAAUGUUCUCAUUUCCACCCAGGACAUGCUCUCACCUGAAGGUGGUACAGGAGCCUCAGGAACCACACCACCAUGCUCAGGAACAGUUAUUGCCCCUCAAACAUCAGGCUUUUGAACCAAAGGGGAUAACUUCACUCAAUUUCACUUGCUCCAUCAGUAAACUGUUCCCACUACCUAUGGACUCAUUUUACAGGACUCUUCAUCCCAAGUUCUUGAUAUUUAUUAUUAUUAUUAUUAUUUCUUUCUUUUCAUAUUUUCAUUGGAUUGCACUACCUGUAUGUAUAAUCUAUAUUUUCAUUUAU